AGAGUUUGAUUCUGGCUCAGGAUGAACGCUAGCUACAGGCUUAACACAUGCAAGUCGAGGGGAAACGACAUUGGAAGCUUGCUUCCGAUGGGUGUCGACCGGCGCACGGGUGAGUAACGCGUAUCCAACCUGCCCACCACUUGGGAAUAACCUUGCGAAAGUAAGACUAAUGCCCAAUGAGAUUGAGUGCAGACAUCUAAUCUCAAUUAAAGAUUCAUCGGUGAUGGAUGGGGAUGCGUCCGAUUAGCUUGUUGGCGGGGUAACGGCCCACCAAGGCAACGAUCGGUAGGGGUUCUGAGAGGAAGGUCCCCCACAUUGGAACUGAGACACGGUCCAAACUCCUACGGGAGGCAGCAGUGAGGAAUAUUGGUCAAUGGGCGAGAGCCUGAACCAGCCAAGUAGCGUGCAGGAUGACGGCCCUAUGGGUUGUAAACUGCUUUUAUAAGGGAAUAAAGUGGGGCUCGUGAGCUCCUUUGCAUGUACCUUAUGAAUAAGGACCGGCCAAUUCCGUGCCAGCAGCCGCGGUAAUACGGAAGGUCCGGGCGUUAUCCGGAUUUAUUGGUUUAAAGGGAGCGUAGGCCGCAGGUUAAGCGUGUUGUGAAAUGUAGGGGCUCAACCUCUGCACUGCAGCGCGAACUGGCUUGCUUGAGUACGCACAACGUGGGCGGAAUUCGUGGUGUAGCGGUGAAAUGCUUAGAUAUCACGAAGAACUCCGAUUGCGAAGGCAGCUCACGGGAGCGCAACUGACGCUGAAGCUCGAAAGUGCGGGUAUCGAACAGGAUUAGAUACCCUGGUAGUCCGCACGGUAAACGAUGGAUGCCCGCUGUUGGCUUGAAAUAGUCAGCGGCCAAGCGAAAGCAUUAAGCAUCCCACCUGGGGAGUACGCCGGCAACGGUGAAACUCAAAGGAAUUGACGGGGGCCCGCACAAGCAGUGGAGUAUGUGGUUUAAUUCGAAGCAACGCGAAGAACCUUACCAGGUCUUGACAUCCGAUGCAUAGCUUAGAGAUAAGUGAAGUCCUUCGGGACAUCGAGACAGGUGGUGCAUGGUUGUCGUCAGCUCGUGUCGUGAGAUGUUGGGUUAAGUCCCGCAACGAGCGCAACCCUUAUUGCCAGUUACUACGUAAGAGGACUCUGGCGAGACUGCCGUUGACAAAACGGAGGAAGGUGGGGAUGACGUCAAAUCAUCAUGCCCUUUAUGACCUGGGCUACACACGUACUACAAUGGCGUUUAACAAAGAGAAGCAAGACCGCGAGGUGGAGCAAAACUCAGAAACAACGUCUCAGUUCAGAUUGCAGGCUGCAACUCGCCUGCAUGAAGUCGGAAUUGCUAGUAAUCGCGGAUCAGCAUGCCGCGGUGAAUACGUUCCCGGGCCUUGUACUCACCGCCCGUCAAG
rnacentral:rRNA from 1 species